rnacentral:rRNA from 1 species
AUGGGUCUCAGAUUAGAAGAUGGGGAAAAGGUAAAGAUGAAGAGUCAGACAAAUGUUCGCUUAUCUGCUUCUCCUAAAUCUGCAUUUGAGGAAGAGCGAGAUAUACUGCAUGAAGAGGCUUUGGACGUUGCCAAGUGCACUGGGAUUGUUCAGCCCGACGACAUGAGCCACAAGAUAGUCAUGGAGUGCCUCAUAUACAGGGACCUGCUUUCUAUGGAAUUGAAGACACAUGCACCAAACUAUUGGAUCUGCGAUGGUAUUAUACAGGGCCAAGACAAUGCAUCAGCAUGGGACAUUGGCAAUUCUCUUCAGAGAAAUUUGAGCUUGGAUUGUAAUGCCAACUAUAAUAAGGCCGCAGCUCCCGUGCUACAGGUGUCAGAUGAUUUACUUGUUAACUGCUGGAAUUUCACCACCCACAAACAACUCCUUAUAAAGGAUAAUAGUCGUGUGCUGCCUACUCAGGUGACAUCAGUCCUCCUUUCUGCAGAUGAACCACCAAGAAAUACAACAGCAAUAUUGCCAGUUGGCAUGUUCCAACAUUCACAAAGUAGCAAGCUGCGUGUGUUACAUCUGUCUCAUUGCACCUUCAGUUUGCAUCUCCUCCCUUCGUCCAUUGUGCCCAACUAA